rnacentral:lncRNA from 1 species
GAUGGUGACGUCUCCGUCAGGUCCCUGAAGCAUCUUGUCCAUUCCCUUAGGUCCGAGGGAGGAGCGGAGGAUCCGAGCCACCGCUUUGCCGGCGGCGAUAUUGGCUUUCUGAGCAUCGAUGCCUCUGAGACGCGUCUUCUGAUCUUGCUCCCUUAGUAUUAUGAACGGACGCCCGAACUCAUCGAACGCUAGCGCCAUUUUGGAGCUUCAAACUUUCCUCGAUCCGAUCCAAGUUCAGAUCUUGUUUUUUUUUGUUCUCACUGCUAAGAAAAAUAAGAAAGAGAAGGAGAGUGGAUUUGAGAGCGAAAAUGGUUUGAGUGUGAAACCCUAGUAGCUCCGCUGAUGAUGAUGACACAGAAUCGUAGAUUAAAGCCUAUUCAAGGGCCUUCGGAAAUUAUUGGGCUUUCGAAUUAAAGCCCAUCUAUCCAUUUUCAGAUCUAGAAAGUGGUAAGCCUUUUUUUAUUAUCAUGCAACUUUUCACGUUCGAUUAUUUAGGUUUGUUUGAGUUGAGUAUAAAUGGUAAAGAUGAUUAAUUGAUUACUUACUGGUUUCUACAGACUAGAGUGAAUAUUUCACCCUAAAAUCUAUAUGAUGUCUGAUUGAGAUUUUACAAGGUAUCCCAGAGUGAAAAUAUGUUUAGUGCAAUCAAUAUCCUCUUAAUUCAUUUUCCCGAAUUGGGAGUAUUCCAAUUUAUAACUUAAGUUUUAUAUUUUCGAUGUGAAUAGUUUAUAAUUAAGGCCACGUUAAUAAUGUUUUCAGCUUGUUUUCUCUAUUUGAUCAAAUUAUACAAUCGGUUAACUCUGACUUUUUUUUUUUUGGCACAAAGGUUAACUCUGACUUUAACAAGAAAACUGAUAGAUACUGAAGGAUAGUGCUGACGUGGCUGAUGGUUGCUUUGUUGGCAAGGAAGUGAAGUUGCUGAUUCAUUGAGAGGCUUGGCGGUUACUGAACAUGGGGAGUAUAAAUAAAGAUCUAUGAGUGUUGUUGACGAUUUAUCAAAAGAUCAUAGAGAGUUGUUUGGGCAAUUUCAGAGAAGCAUCUAUGUACACUAAAGGCAGAUUCAGAGAGCUAGCUUGGUCUCUGGAUUUGAAGGCUCAAGGCACGUUUGGUGACUUGAGAUUGUAAUCGGUUCGAUAAGCAAUAAGAAUAGUACUUGGACGCUUAUCAAAAACAAUUCUACAUGCUGUUCAUUUUAAUGUAUUAGAAGUUAGAAUAUCAUGUUUCUAUAACAAGCUUAUAACAUAAAAUUAACUCAUACUGUGAACAUUCAUUUUAUCCGGCUCAUCAAUCAAUGAAAACAAAAUUAGAAUUUCGUAUCCAAUCAAUUCAUUGGCUUGUUACCAUUCAAAAAUGUUUAUCUUAGCAAACCCAUUUUUAGGCAGCGAUCAAAAUUGGAUUGAAAGGUAUUCCUCCAUCGUAGUAACGUUUUCUAAAAAAAAAACCUAUCACAAAAAACAGCUAUAUGUACACAUCAAACACAAAUCUUCUCCAAUCAUCACAAUCUCUAAACCUCAAACCUAAAAAAAAAUAAAAAAGAGCGACGUAGAAAGAGACAGAGAGAAGAAUGGGUCGCCAAAACGUUGAUACCGUGCUAGGACGCACUGAAAUACCUUUCUGAAGUUGGUGGAUUCUUUGAGGAAUGUGUUGCAUGUGAGAUGUUACUGUAAAACAUGUGAUUUUAAUUAAAGGCAUAUGUUCUUUAGAACUUUACAAAAGAAACUAUAAAUUGUAAUAAGAUACAUGUAUUCCAACUAUAAUUAUUACACACAGAGAUAUAUUUUCAAAAUUUAUUUUUUUCGUCUUACGGAAUAUAUAAUAGCCAGACAGUUAAAAUAUCUAUAUUUCUUCACAAAUUAUAUGGAUCCUUUAAGCAGCAUUGAAAUUGAUGGUGUACCAAUUAUUAUAUGAUGUCUAUUCUCAGAGUGAUGAUCCGGCCAUGAAGAGCUCACAAGCAGUGACGAAGUUUCUCCCGCUGAUGAUUGGCUAUUUUGCACUCUCAGUUCCUUCUGGUUUAAGUCUUUACUGGUGAGAGCUCACCAGCGGCUAGUCUUGAAUAUUUUCGCGUGGGGAGUGAACACUCCACUUGCUUUUCUUCUCACUUUUGAAGAGUGCGUUUGCAGGUUGACCAACAACAUUUUGAGCACAGCACAGCAAGUAUGGCUUCAAAAAUAUGGUGGUGCCAAAAAUCCGAUGGAGAAGCUCACUAAUUUGGUAACCAAGGAAGACAAAACUCAAAAAGUUGACAAGUCUAUCUCACAACCUCUAGUUCAGAAGUCUGUCUCAGAGCUGAAAAUACCAAGAGACAAGGGUAGUGAAAAAGUGACCUCAGAAGGGCCCAAACCUGGUGAAAGGUGUGACUAAAUAUUCUGAAACCUCUCUGAUUCGUUACUAGAACCUAUUUGUUGUUUUUAACACAUUCGUUCCCAGGUUUAGGCUGCUCAAAGAGCAAGAAGCAAAGAGACGUCGAGAGAAAGAAGAGGAGAGGCAGAAAGCUGAAGCAGCUCUGUCAAAUCAAAAUACAGACAGCGCAGAGGAACAUGAGGGAAAAUCUGACACAGGCGCGGAAGAAACAGGUGAUGGCUCUGCCGCUGUGAAUGGGAAGCCUUCCAUUCAAAAGGACGAGACUACUAAUGGGAAACUCGGCGUUGGCCAUGAUGCAGAGAAACAACAUUCUCAUGAAACAUAGAAGUGGUUAACAAACACCUAAAGGCGGAUUGAGGAAAAGUGAUGUUUCAGGUUUUAGUAUUUGUGCAGAAAGAAAUGGCCAAAUGGUUUUUUUGUAAGUCGUGGAAGCUUACUUCACGUUCCUUACAUAUUCUUAUGUAUAAACAGAAGGUUUUGCUCUCAUACGACAAUGGUUUUACUCUAGAAGCCUACACUAUGACACUUGUCUUCAUCUGUUAUUAAAUUUUGAAUAAUGCAUACAGAAACUUUAGAAUGAUUUUCGCACAACAAGAAACAAAGAGAUGAAUAGUAUCAAAAUCUAAUAGAGAGCAAACAAGAAACAAAGAGACCAAAGGGUAGUACAAAAGUUUUAAGCACAACAUGAUCAGUAUUCAGAAUUAGAGAUGACAUCGUCGAUCUUUAGAAUCAUCUUAACGACUUGAGUUGCAAGCAAGAUCUGCUGCUGCUUCCCGAUCAAUGUUUCAAACACGUUUUGCUCCCUCAUAUCGUUUGUUCCCACGUCAUUGCAAUCUAUUCCAUAGAAAGGAAUAUUCUCCUGUUCCAUCAUACACCCACAAAGCCAAUGUUUAGAUCAGUCACCGAACAAACACAUCAAUGGCGAAAUAGACAACCAGGUCACUUACCUUAAGUUGCUGAGAUUUAACCGCAGAGAGUGUUUCAAUUGGCUGUAGCCCACUGUUCUCUGCAAGAGCCAUAGGGACGGAGUCCAAAGCUUCUGCAAAUGCCCUUAUUGCAUACUGCAUAGACAGAAGCAGUUGUAACAUGUUGAGUCUUCAGCGUUAAGAUUUUUGAAAUAGAUGAUUUCACUACAGACUCAAAGAGAAGAGUAAAGAUCGUCUUUACCUGCUCGACGCCAGGGUAUUUAUCUGCAGCUGCAUCAACCGCAAGUGAGCAUGCGAUUUCAGCUGCACCACCUCCAUAUACAAUUGACUUAUUGCGGAUGAGAUUCCUCGCCACACACAAAGCAUCGUGGAUACUACGCUUAGUUUCUUCUAUCAUCAUUUUGUUACCUAAACCAUAUCCCAAAAACGAAUUGUUAAUCAAUAAGUGCAAUAUCUUUGUCCAGCAUAUACAUUGAAACACAAUAAACUCAGUAAAUCAAAUUUUAUAGCUCGUAGGGUACUUAAGAUUCAGAGUUGUUACAAAAAGAAUAUAAGUACCUCCACGGAUGAAAAUAGUGACAGCUUUUGAGUUAGCGCAGUGCUCAAUAUACAGCAUUCGUUCUUUUGUUGUGCCAAAUGAUUUUUCACGCACCAUACCAGCCUAAGAACAGGAAUAAAUGUGAGGAUUCAAUGGUCUGAUUUAAACGAAUUUAACAUGCCACUCAUUUAAGGGGCAAACACCAAGUGAGAGUAAAUAGUACCUUCCCUAACUUCUCUGGGGUCAAUUCCUGGAAUCUUGGAACAAUUCUGCCGCCUACAUAAAGACAAAUAUCCUGUCAGCUAUAGAAAGCUGAUUAAAUCGUUAACAGUAGAUGCUUGGAGAAAUCCCAUACCUGUGGCUAUUGCGAUGAGUUCUAAUUCAACACCCCCGACCCAUCUGACAGCAGGCAAAUUCCUGUGCAUCAAUAGAUGGUUUGCCUCAUCAUCGAAUCCCCAUUGGCAAAUAACCAAUGUAGCACCAACAUCCUGCAAUUUAAAAGCAUAGGAAAUUAUAUAAUAAAAUGCACUGACAACUAAUCUUCACUGUAAAAAAAAAAGCCUUUUCCAGUAACUCACAAUAUAGUCAAUUUCCAAAUCACAAUGACAAAGAAAAUUUAAAAACCAACCUUGCACUUCUGAACCAUCUCAUCGAAAUAUUGCUGCUCUUGCUUGCGCAAUGUCUCAAACUUCUCCACUGUGUCAAUGUCCACCUUAUGCUUAGUCUUGGGCUUCGGUGGCUCAAACGGGCAAGUCAAAAUGGCAAUGUGAGCAUCUUCAAUUUGCUUCGGCAUCUGUGGAUGACUCAUGUCUUUGUCAACUAGUAUUCCAUAUAUAAGCUCAGUGUCCUCCAAGUUUCCCCCGACCUUGCCCUCUACUUUUAUCAGAUCUAAGUUAACAUCCCUUCUCUCCAAAUCAGCAACAGCAAGAACUGCUUUGACAGCAAUCUCAGCUAAACUGCGCUUGCAUCGAUUCACACUGUACCAAUGAACAAAAAAUAACAAAAAAAAAAUCAGGAAAAUAUUCUACAAAACUAUAAUAGAAAAAAUUAUUGGAGUGUAAAUCUUACAUCUUCGAGGAAAGAGUAGUCAUGCAUGUUUUGACCAAUGGCUCAAAAUUAUCAACGUCGAACUCAAACUUUUGAGAUAUACGCUCCAAAUGCUCAACUGCAACUCUAGAAGCCAUCUCAUAUCCCUCAGCGACACGGAUAGGAUGAAUCCCCCUAUCCAACUGACGUUCAGCUUGCUCCAGAAGCGCACCAGCCAUGACAACAACGCCUGUUGUGCCGUCACCGAUUUCAUAAUCCUGACUCCGAGACAGCUCGACCAUAAGUUUCGCAAUCUGGUUGUCAACAUCCAUUUGCUCCAAGAUAGCUGCACCAUCAUUCGCUAGAUAAACAAACACGACGAAGUUAUAAACACGAUAGCAAACAAAAGAAGGUAUUAUGCUUCAAACAAAUAUACGUAUCUCAAGAACGAGAAAUGCGUACACAAAACAGCAUCUUGUUGUUAAAGAAUCCAUUUUUAGCAUAUCCAGCACAUAUUCAUAGGAGUUUAAACGAUUCUUCGAAAAAUUUCCAUGAAAAAGAGCUUUCUUUGCAGCUAUUUUUGAAUUCAAUGGUACCAAUUAAUGUAUUCAUUAGCAUUUUCGCAGCAACAGAAGAAACUAGUUUGAGCUUCUUAGCUUAAGCGUCACAGACAGUAUAGCGAAUCGAUAUUCCAAAAAAGUUUGACAUGGAUCCAUUAAUCAUACUGCUGCAUCGACGUUACUACCCUAAUCAAUUAGACAUUCAAAAGCAGAUUUGAAAUUAAGGAGGUGAGAAACGAACUGAUGGUGACGUCUCCGUCAGGUCCCUGAAGCAUCUUGUCCAUUCCCUUAGGUCCGAGGGAGGAGCGGAGGAUCCGAGCCACCGCUUUGCCGGCGGCGAUAUUGGCUUUCUGAGCAUCGAUGCCUCUGAGACGCGUCUUCUGAUCUUGCUCCCUUAGUAUUAUGAACGGACGCCCGAACUCAUCGAACGCUAGCGCCAUUUUGGAGCUUCAAACUUUCCUCGAUCCGAUCCAAGUUCAGAUCUUGUUUUUUUUUGUUCUCACUGCUAAGAAAAAUAAGAAAGAGAAGGAGAGUGGAUUUGAGAGCGAAAAUGGUUUGAGUGUGAAACCCUAGUAGCUCCGC